rnacentral:rRNA from 1 species
ACGAACGUUGGCGGCGUGGAUGAGGCAUGCAAGUCGAACGUGAAAGCCGCAAGGUGAGUAGCGUGGCGGACGGGCGAGUAACACGUAAUCAAGCUGCCUGCGAGACGGGGAUAACUUCGGGAAACCGAAGCUAAGACCCGAUGGUCUACCGAGACUGCAUGGUUUUGGUAGUAAAUGGGCGGGAUCCUUCGGGAUCGCCUGCUCGCAGAGGUGAUUGCGGCCCAUCAGCUAGUUGGUAGGGUAAUGGCCUACCAAGGCAACGACGGGUAGCCGGCCUUAGAGGGUGGUCGGCCGCACUGGGACUGAGACACUGCCCAGACUCCUACGGGAGGCUGCAGUCGAGAAUCUUCCGCAAUGGGCGAAAGCCUGACGGAGCGACGCCGCGUGGAGGAUGAAGGCCUUCGGGUUGUAAACUCCUGUCACGAGUUAAGAAAGGAAUGCCGCGAAUAGCGGUAGGCCCUGACGUAAGCUCGAGAGGAAGCACUGGCUAACUCUGUG